rnacentral:rRNA from 1 species
AGCGAACGCUGGCGGCAGGCUUAACACAUGCAAGUCGAACGGGCACUUCGGUGCUAGUGGCAGACGGGUGAGUAACACGUGGGAACGUACCUUUCGGUUCGGAAUAAUACAGGGAAACUUGUACUAAUACCGGAUACGCCCUUUGGGGGAAAGAUUUAUCGCCGAUUGAUCGGCCCGCGUCUGAUUAGCUAGUUGGUGAGGUAAUGGCUCACCAAGGCGACGAUCAGUAGCUGGUCUGAGAGGAUGAUCAGCCACACUGGGACUGAGACACGGCCCAGACUCCUACGGGAGGCAGCAGUGGGGAAUAUUGGACAAUGGGCGCAAGCCUGAUCCAGCCAUGCCGCGUGAGUGAUGAAGGCCUUAGGGUUGUAAAGCUCUUUUGUCCGGGAAGAUAAUGACUGUACCGGAAGAAUAAGCCCCGGCUAACUUCGUGCCAGCCGCCGCAGUAACAC